UUAUUUUAGUAUAAUUAAUUUAUAAAUUAAUUUAAUAUAAUUAUAUUUUAAAAUUUAAUUAAUAAUUUAUAUAUAUAUAUAUAUAUAUAUAUAUAUAAUGAAGCUUAAAAAAUUUUUUUUAGAAACUAGGAUUAGAUACCCUAUUAUUAAAAUUGUAAUUUUUAAUACUAAGGUAGUAUUAGUUAUGGUCUUGAAACUUAAAAAAUUUGGCGGUAUUUUAAUCUAUUCAGAGGAACCUGUUCUAUAAUUGAUAAUCCACGAUGGACCUUACUUAAACUUGUUUAUCAGUUUAUAUAUCGUUGUUAUAAAAAUUUUUAAAGAAAAAUAAUUUUUGAUAUUUUAAAUAGUAAAGUAAUAUCAAAUCAAGGUGUAGCUAAUGUUUAAGGAGAAAUGGGUUACAAUAAAUUUAUUUAUGGAUAUAAAAAUGAAAUUUUUAUUGAAAAUGGAUUUGAAUGUAAAAUUAUAAAGAUUAAUAAUUUGAUUUUAGCUCUAAAAUAUGUACAUAUCGCCCGUCACUCUUAUUAUUAAGGUAAGAUAAGUCGUAACAUAGUAGAUGUACUGGAAAGUGUAUCUAGAAUG
rnacentral:rRNA from 1 species